rnacentral:rRNA from 1 species
GUGGGGAAUAUUGGACAAUGGGCGAAAGCCUGAUCCAGCCAUGCCGCGUGUGUGAAGAAGGUCUUCGGAUUGUAAAGCACUUUAAGUUGGGAGGAAGGGCAGUAAGUUAAUACCUUGCUGUUUUGACGUUACCGACAGAAUAAGCACCGGCUAACUUCGUGCCAGCAGCCGCGGUAAUACGAAGGGUGCAAGCGUUAAUCGGAAUUACUGGGCGUAAAGCGCGCGUAGGUGGUUCAGCAAGUUGAAGGUGAAAUCACCGGGCUCAACCUGGGAACUGCCUCCAAAACUACUGAGCUAGAGUACGGUAGAGGGUAGUGGAAUUUCCUGUGUAGCGGUGAAAUGCGUAGAUAUAGGAAGGAACACCAGUGGCGAAGGCGACUACCUGGACUGAUACUGACACUGAGGUGCGAAAGCGUGGGGAGCAAACAGGAUUAGAUACCCUUGUAGUCC